ACUCCUACGGGUGGCUGCAGUGGGGAAUAUUGCGCAAUGGGGGGAACCCUGACGCAGCCAUGCCGCGUGAAUGAAGAAGGCCUUCGGGUUGUAAAGUUCUUUCGGUAUUGAGGAAGGUUGAUGUGUUAAUAGCACAUCAAAUUGACGUUAAAUACAGAAGAAGCACCGGCUAACUCCGUGCCAGCAGCCGCGGUAAUACGGAGGGUGCGAGCGUUAAUCGGAAUAACUGGGCGUAAAGGGCACGCAGGCGGUUAUCUAAGUGAGGUGUGAAAGCCCUGGGCUUAACCUAGGAAUUGCAUUUCAGACUGGGUAACUAGAGUACUUUAGGGAGGGGUAGAAUUCCACGUGUAGCGGUGAAAUGCGUAGAGAUGUGGAGGAAUACCGAAGGCGAAGGCAGCCCCUUGGGAAUGUACUGACGCUCAUGUGCGAAAGCGUGGGGAGCAAACAGGAUUAGAUACCCUGGUAGUCCACGCUGUAAACGCUGUCGAUUUGGGGAUUGGGCUUAGAGCUUGGUGCCCGUAGCUAACGUGAUAAAUCGACCGCCUGGGGAGUACGGCCGCAAGGUUAAAACUCAAAUGAAUUGACGGGGGCCCGCACAAGCGGUGGAGCAUGUGGUUUAAUUCGAUGCAACGCGAAGAACCUUACCUACUCUUGACAUCCUAAGAAGAGCUCAGAGAUGAGCUUGUGCCUUCGGGAACUUAGAGACAGGUGGUGCAUGGCUGUCGUCAGCUCGUG
rnacentral:rRNA from 1 species